rnacentral:rRNA from 1 species
CUACGGGGUGCACCAGUUAGGAAUAUUCUGCAAUGCACGAAAGUGUGACAGAGUGAGCCAGAGUGUUUUUCUUUAUGAAAAACUUUUGUUAGCUGUAAAAAGGCUAAUUAAUAAGGACAGGGCAAGACUAGUGCCAGCCGCCGCGGUAAUACUAGCUGUCCAAGUCGCAGCCAUUUUUAUUGGGUCUAAAACAUCCGUAGCUUGCUUGAUAAGUUUCCUGUGAAAUCCUGUAUCUUAAGUACAGGGCGGGCGGGAAAUACUAUUUAGCUAGAGACUGGAAGACAUAAGGAGUACGGCCAAAGUAGCGGUAAAAUGUUUUAAUCUUGGUCGGACUAACAACAGCGAAGGCACCUUAUGAGGACAGUUCUGACAGUGAUGGAUGAAGGCUAGGGGCGCAAAACGGAUUAGAUACCCUAGUAGUC